AUUGAACGCUGGCGGCAGGCCUAACACAUGCAAGUCGAACGGUAGCACAGAGAGCUUGCUCUCGGGUGACGAGUGGCGGACGGGUGAGUAACGUCUGGGAAACUGCCCGAUGGAGGGGGAUAACUACUGGAAACGGUAGCUAAUACCGCAUAACGUCGCAAGACCAAAGUGGGGGACCUUCGGGCCUCACACCAUCGGAUGUGCCCAGAUGGGAUUAACUAGUAGGUGGGGUAAUGGCUCACCUAGGCGACGAUCCCUAGCUGGUCUGAGAGGAGGACCAGCCACACUGGAACUGAGACACGGUCCAGACUCCUACGGGAGGCAGCAGUGGGGAAUAUUGCACAAUGGGCGCAAGCCUGAUGCAGCCAUGCCGCGUGUAUGAAGAAGGCCUUCGGGUUGUAAAGUACUUUCAGCGGGGAGGAAGGCGGUGGAGUUAAUAACUUCACCGAUUGACGUUACCCGCAGAAGAAGCACCGGCUAACUCCGUGCCAGCCGCCGCCGUAA
rnacentral:rRNA from 1 species